rnacentral:ribozyme from 16 species
UAUAUACCUGUUUUUAUUUUGGGGUUUUUUUAUUUUUCAUUUUUUCCUUAUUAUUUUUCAUUUUUCAUUUUUUUAGUGGAAUAGCCUCGUUUUAAAAAUAGCUGCUGUCAGGCAGGUG